CAGUGGGGAAUAUUGCACAAUGGGCGAAAGCCUGAUGCAGCGACGCCGCGUGAGGGAUGACGGCCUUCCGGGUUGUAAACCUCUUUCAAGUAGGGAAGAAGCGAAAGUGACGGUACCUGCAGAAGAAGCGCCGGCUAACUACGUGCCAGCAGCCGCGGUAAUACGUAGGGCGCAAGCGUUAUCCGGAAUUAUUGGGCGUAAAGAGCUCGUAGGCGGUUUGUCGCGUCUGCCGUGAAAGUCCGGGGCUCAACUCCGGAUCUGCGGUGGGUACGGGCAGACUAGAGUGAUGUAGGGGAGACUGGAAUUCCUGGUGUAGCGGUGAAAUGCGCAGAUAUCAGGAGGAACACCGAUGGCGAAGGCAGGUCUCUGGGCAUUAACUGACGCUGAGGAGCGAAAGCAUGGGGAGCGAACAGGAUUAGAUACCCUGGUAGUCCAUGCCGUAAACGUUGGGCACUAGGUGUGGGGGACAUUCCACGUUUUCCGCGCCGUAGCUAACGCAUUAAGUGCCCCGCCUGGGGAGUACGGCCGCAAGGCUAAAACUCAAAGGAAUUGACGGGGGCCCGCACAAGCGGCGGAGCAUGCGGAUUAAUUCGAUGCAACGCGAAGAACCUUACCAAGGCUUGACAUGAACCGGUAAUACCUGGAAACAGGUGCCCCGCUUGCGGUCGGUUUACAGGUGGUGCAUGGUUGUCGUCAGCUCGUGUCGUGAGAUGUUGGGUUAAGUCCCGCAACGAGCGCAACCCUCGUUCUAUGUUGCCAGCGCGUUAUGGCGGGGACUCAUAGGAGACUGCCGGGGUCAACUCGGAGGAAGGUGGGGACGACGUCAAAUCAUCAUGCCCCUUAUGUCUUGGGCUUCACGCAUGCUACAAUGGCCGGUACAAAGGGUUGCGAUACUGUGAGGUGGAGCUAAUCCCAAAAAGCCGGUCUCAGUUCGGAUUGGGGUCUGCAACUCGACCCCAUGAAGUCGGAGUCGCUAGUAAUCGCAGAUCAGCAACGCUGCGGUGAAUACGUUCCCGGGCCUUGUACACACCGCCCGUCAAGUCACGAAAGUUGGUAACACCCGAAGCCGGUGGCCUAACCCCU
rnacentral:rRNA from 1 species